rnacentral:lncRNA from 1 species
CCGGGUGCUUCAGGGUCCGAGAACCUGCAGAAGUUCACACUUAAAUCCUACACGAGAGUCGUAUUUAUGAUGCAGAACUCGAUGGAGAAACGGAGGCCCAGGGAAGGGAUGUGCCCGAGGUCAUACAAAGAAGUUUGUGGGAAUCCAGGUCUGACUCGCACUCAAUCUAGUGCUCUAAUAAUGACUUGAGUGAAUUGUAUGAAUGUGCUCAGAGGUGGAGCAGCAAUCAUAAAAGUAAUAAUGGUACCAUUUAUGGACCAUCUAACUACUGUGUUAAAACAAUUUACAGGCCAUGCGCGGUGGCUCACGCUUGUAAUCCCAGCACUUUGGGAGGCCGAGGCGGGCAGAUCACGAAGUCAGAAGAUCGAGACCAUCCUGGCUAACACGGGACUCAAGACUGGAAUGGGAAGAGCAUGAAAUUGAGCUGUCUAUCCCCCUGGAUCUCUCAUUGCCACCUGCCCAUAGGUUGGCUGCACCCCUCCACCAAAGAAAGGCCAUGACUCCUUCCUGGCAGCCCUGUCUUACAGCUACUCUCUGGUGAUCUGGGAACCACUCCCUCCCUUACCCCUUGAUGCCUAGGGCUAGUGCCAGCACCUUGUUGUUGUUAGCCUCAGAGGCACUUGCACUGUUCCUUGAUGGUUUUCCCAAAUCUUGCCCUCAUCUUUGUAAAUACUGUUUGCCGUUUAUUACACUGUCAUCAUAUUACCCAAUUUGAGUGUGUCAUCUAUUUCUUCCAAGACCCUGACUGAUACAGUGGGUAUAUUUGGAGCCAGAAAAAACAAUGACAACAAAACCAUUUGUUUGAGAAUUAGAAUGUGUUAGGAGAGUCCAUAAUCAGAACUGUCUGAGCACAUUUACUGCUGCCUAUGAACGGUUUAGAGGAUGAGGACAGCUGGCAUGGGAUUAAGGUAACCUUGUCCAGAAAGAUUUCAUUCAUUUAGAAAAAAUUUAUUGAAGGCCUACUAUCAUGCACCAAGCACUACUCUAGGUGCUGGGGGAAAAGGACAAAUAAAUCAUGUUCCUUUCCCUCAAGGAGCUCACAAUCUAGUAGCAGGGGACAGAUAUGUAAACAGUUAGUUGCAUAAAGCAUCACAGUGCUGUAGUAGAUGUCUGAGCUAGAGAUAAGAACUUUGGAA